rnacentral:lncRNA from 1 species
AUUUAUUUUCCAAGCUGCUCUCUCUGCCUGCCGUGCAAGGGACGCGCAAAGGGCUAGAGAGGUUUGGCGGACGCGUCAAAACUGGCAAAGCUGGCGGCUUAGGGGGAGGGGCAAGUGGACUUGGAGGCCCUCCUCCACUGUGCACCCCCUUGGAAAAAAAGCGGAGGGGGCAUCAAGUAAAAGUUUCUUGCCAGGCAGAGCCAGCUCGGCGUCCCCCGCACAUAGCUGGGGUUAGCAGGGGUUGCUUCUCUGCCGGGCACA